rnacentral:lncRNA from 1 species
AAAAAGAGUCCAUUCACUCUCUACAAUUUCUGUACCGUAUCUUCAUUAAAAUGUCAGAAGGCUACACCCUAAAAUUGGAGACCAGAGCACUGGGGGCCGUGCAAAUCAUGAAUGGCCUGUUGUACUGCGCGUUGGGCUUUCUCUGUUUUGCAUUAUUUGUCGAAGAAGAGAACAGAGAAGCUACUGGUUACAUCCCUGUCAUUGUUACACUAACUUACGUAUUUUGUUCAUCAACAUUUUUCAUCAGCUCGGGCUCCAUCAGCGUACAAGCACAGAAGCAUCCUACAAAAUCCAAGCUUAUUGCUAGCAUGGUUAUGAACAUCCUAAGUGCCUGCUUUUCUGUACUUGGUAUAAUGAUAUUAAGUAUUGCAAGUUUAACGUAUUAUCCAGACACCAAUGAAUACCUGUGGUCACAUAUAGCUGGUAGUAUGCUUUUACAAUAUGUACUCUUCACCACGAUCGUGGAAGUGAUCUGUGCAUACGUGACUGUCAAGUGGAUUGAAGCAGCAAUGCGUCCUGUAGAAUGCAGUGAGAUAAGUCCACAGCUGUCUCAGUGCAGUGGCUCUACAUAACUCACAAAGAACCAGUGUGACUCCCAUCAAGAACGAAAGAUUAAUCGUGAACUGGGGAAGAACUCCGCGAUUGUUCUCAAGAGGCCUCACGGAAAAUACAGGCUACUGAUGUCCUUCCCAGUGCGCCUUCUCCCUACUUCGUCAAUAAAGGAUGCAAUCUGAUCA